rnacentral:misc_RNA from 1 species
CCCUCGAGCCUCUUCUCUACGUCCUUAUGAUGGUCGACCCCACCUCCUCACACACCACCACCGAGGGUGGAGCGCAGCAAGACAGCUGGACUGCGCCACUCCUUCUGUGCUGAUCACGCCACAUUCCUCGCACCCACCGCGGACAAGGAUGUCAUUCAAGUCGCACUACAGCCUGCCCUCUGUGAAAAAGGAGCACUGAACGCUAGAGCACUUGAAUGGAGCUUGGCACCCUCAAAAGGAAGUGCACACUCUUGGGCGCGCGAUACUGCAACCAGCAGCAGCUCUCCGCUGCACGCACGCACUCGGAAGAGGACCGCCACCCCCCACCCCAGCCGCCGCCUUCUCGGUGUGGACUUAAAGCAAACAAAAAAAAAAGCAGGCCUUUGGCAGACACGUCGCAGGAGUUGUCAGAGUACUCACCACUCGACCUGCCCAGUCGAGGGAGGUCUGCCCGCGCGAAUGCGAUCUGUGAAAGGAUCUGCCUCACUCUUCCUACAUGGCACUGUUUGAAUCAACGUUGCUCAACAGUGUCAUUUUGCGUGGUGGAAUUGUUCUAGCAAGCACUGCACAGAGGCCCUGGUGCACUUGCACGCCAAAGCAGCGGCGGUCAUCGUGGGAACUCCAAAAUAUGCAGACAGCGGACACCCACUUGAAGAGGCCGAUCUCCUGCUCCUCGACUCCAGCGUGCUGCUGCGCCGACCCGCCUGUAUCUUCUCUCCACAG